rnacentral:rRNA from 1 species
UACGGGAGGUAGCAGUGGGGAAUAUUGCACAAUGGGCGAAAGCCUGAUGCAGCUAUGCCGCGUGUAUGAAGAAGGCCUUAGGGUUGUAAAGUACUUUCAUCGGGGAGGAAAAACAAAACUAAUAAUUUUAUUUCUUGACGUUACCCGAAAAAGAAGCACCGGCUAACUCCGUGCCAGCAGCCGCGGUAAUACGGAGGGUGCUAGCGUUAAUCAGAAUUACUGGGCGUAAAGAGCACGUAAGGUGGUUUUUUUAAGUCAGAUGUGAAAUCCCUGGGCUUAACCUGGAACUGCAUUUUGAAACUGAAAUACUAGAGUAUCGUAGAGGGAGGUAGAAUUCUAGGUGUAGCGGUGAAAUGCGUAGAUAUCUGGAGGAAUACCUGUGGCGAAAGCGGCCUCCUAAACGAAUACUGACACUGAGGUGCGAAAGCGUGGGGAGCAAACAGGGAUUAGAUACC